UACGGAGGGGGCAAGCGUUGUUCGGAAUUACUGGGCGUAAAGGGCGCGCAGGCGGCUGCUCAAGUCAGGCGUGAAAGGCCUGGGCUCAACCCGGGAAUUGCGCUUGAGACUGGGCUGGCUUGAGUGCGGGAGAGGAUGGUGGAAUUCCCAGUGUAGAGGUGAAAUUCGUAGAUAUCAGGAGGAACACCGGUGGCGAAGGCGGCUCUCUGGACGGUGACUGACGCUGAGACGCGAAAGCGUGGGGAGCAAACAGG
rnacentral:rRNA from 1 species